GAUGAACGCUAGCUGGAGGCUUAAUAUAUGCAAGUCGAGCGGGAUUGGGUAGCAAUACCCAUGAGAGCGGCGCACGGGUGAGUAACGCGUACACGACCUACCUCUAACAGGGGGAUAGCCCUGGGAAACUGGGAUUAAUACCGCAUAUUAUUCUGAAUAAUAAAGGUUUGGAAUGAAAGCUGAGGCGGUUAGAGAUGGGUGUGCGUCUGAUUAGCUAGUUGGUAGGGUAACGGCCUACCAAGGCGAUGAUCAGUAGGGGGCGUGAGAGAGUGGUCCCCCACACGGGUACUGAGACACGGACCCGACUCCUACGGGAGGCAGCAGUAAGGAAUAUUGGUCAAUGGGCGAAAGCCUGAACCAGCCAUCCAGCGUGCAGGAAGAAGGCCCUAUGGGUUGUAAGCUGCUUUUAUCAGGGAAGAAACCUCUGGAUUUACUCCGGAGCUGACGGUACCUGAAGAAUAAGCACCGGCUAACUCCGUGCCAGCCGCCGCAGUAAGAC
rnacentral:rRNA from 1 species